rnacentral:lncRNA from 1 species
GAGCCUGCCCGCUGGCUGUGGGGACCUGACCUUUUCUGCACUGAGGGGAAGGAAUGGGGUAAUUAGCUUAUAUAAUCCCCGGCCUGCCUGCUGUUUGCUGUGGAUGUGGACAAACUCCAUGAAAAUGUGGACUUCUGGGCUGCUGCUGUGGGAUCCCUUCAGAGGGCUCGAGAUGGUUCAUUUUGACCGAGGCCCGUCUGGUGGUUCGUUGCUGUGAUGUAUUUCGGCAUCAUCGACGCAGGUUCACCAGCCUCAUCUCGACCUUGGAAAUGUUGCGGUAUUUUACAGUGUGUGGUGACAUUUAUGGGCCCAUUUGGACACCCACAAAGAGGUUGAUUUCCAUAGAUUAAAUGUCAAGUUUGAAGCCAUCCAGGGUAAUUGAAUCCUUGAAUGUUGUCCACUUCGAUUCUCAGCUGGGGCCGUUGACUGGACAUUUGUGCUCUGUUACAAACUCUUGAGUGCAGCCCAAAUUGCUUAAUGCCAAAAGGUCACUCUGUGAGUCCAGGGGGAGGGUGUCGGUAGGGAGGACCAUGGCACUGGAGUUUGAUACCUGCAGAAAUGUUGCCUUGUUUUUAUUUCUUUAAAUGAAAGCACAUAUGUGGUUAGUUGGUGAAUACAUUACCGGGGACAGAAGAAAAAAAACCCCACCAACUAAGACUUCCUAGAUGUCAGUUAGUUUAAAAUAUCUAACCAUCUAUGUUUUGUCAAGAGCAAAAGGCUAAAAAGAACUUCACUGUAAUGUUUUAAGUAGGAAUAGUUUUAAACGGCAUUAAACACAUAUACAUAAACUUGGCAUGAGCGUCAUUUAAAUUGAAGGGUAGCAAAAAAGCAUCAAAUAAUUUCUGAGAUAUUGAAACGUAUUCACCUGCUGAUUGUCCAGAGAACAUGUGUGUCUUCAGACUUUGGAUCUGAGUGUCUUGAAUUUUUGUCCUCACAAGGAACUGGAGUUAAAUGGAUCCAAUACGGGUACACCCACACCCAUUUCCUCCACUGGUACGCUGUGGCCAGGAGGCGCGGGCCAGCCUCAGAGGCCUUCCUCACUGGGAUUUCUGGCUUUCUGCAGGUUCAGCUGUCCACACGGUGGCAUGGCUUUCUCAGCUCCACUCUGAUCAUUUCCACCAGAAAGAUCUGCUGACUAGUCUCCCUAAAAGUCAGGGCUGUUGGUCAACAUACACAGAGUCCAGAAGUCUGAAGUCAAGGCAUCGGCAGGGCCAUGCUCCCUCUGAAAUCUAUGGGGUAGAAUCCUUCCUCGCCUCUUCCUAGUUUCUCGUGGUUUGCCUGCAAAUGUUGGCAUUCUGUGGCUGGUAGAUGCAUCCCUCCCAUUUCUGCCUCUGGUGUGGCAUGGUGCCCUCUCCUGCAUGUCUGUGUCUCCACAUGACCGUGUCCCCGCUGCGUGUCACUCUCUCCUCUUCUCAUGAGGACACCGAUCACACUGGAUAAAGAGUCAACCCUUCUUCUAUAGGACCUCAUCUUCAUCUAACUAAUCACAGCUGCAAUGACCUUAUUUCCAGUUCAUUUGCUGACACCUCAUCCCCAGUGUGAUUGCACUUGGAGGUACAGCCUUGGGAAGUGAGUACCAGAGAGCUGCCUUGCCCCUUCUACCGUGCGUGCACACAGAGAGAAGAUGG